rnacentral:rRNA from 1 species
UGGGGAAUAUUGCACAAUGGAGGGAACUCUGAUGCAGCGACGCCGCGUGAACGAAGAAGGCUUUCGAGUCGUAAAGUUCUUUUAUAUGGGAAGAUAAUGACGGUACCAUAAGAAAAAGCCCCGGCUAACUACGUGCCAGCAGCCGCGGUAAUACGUAGGGGGCUAGCGUUGUCCGGAAUCACUGGGCGUAAAGGGUUCGCAGGCGGAAAUGCAAGUCAGGUGUAAAAGGCAGUAGCUUAACUACUGUAAGCAUUUGAAACUGCAUAUCUUGAGAAGAGUAGAGGUAAGUGGAAUUUUUAGUGUAGCGGUGAAAUGCGUAGAUAUUAAAAAGAAUACCGGUGGCGAAGGCGGCUUACUGGGCUCAUUCUGACGCUGAGGAACGAAAGCGUGGGAAGCAAACAGG